rnacentral:rRNA from 1 species
AACGAACGCUGGCGGCAGGCCUAACACAUGCAAGUCGAGCGAGGACUUCGGUUCUAGCGGCGGACGGGUGAGUAACGCGUGGGAAUGUGCCCUUCUCUACGGAAUAGCCCUGGGAAACUGGGAGUAAUACCGUAUACGCCCUAUUGGGGAAAGAUUUAUCGGAGAAGGAUCAGCCCGCGUUGGAUUAGGUAGUUGGUGGGGUAAUGGCCUACCAAGCCGACGAUCCAUAGCUGGUUUGAGAGGAUGAUCAGCCACACUGGGACUGAGACACGGCCCAGACGAGGAGGGGGGGGAGCAGUGGAGCAGGGGAGGCAGGGGGGGCCAACCAGAUCGGGCCGGGGGGGGUGAGGGAUGAGGGCGUGGGGUUGUGAAAGCCCUUAGAGCGGGGAAGAGAAUGGCGGUGGAAGCAGAAGAGCCCCCGGCUACCUCCGGGCGAGCAGCGGCGGGGAUACACAGAAAACCGCACGCGUGACC